rnacentral:rRNA from 1 species
GAUCAUGGCUCAGGAUUAACGCUGGCGGCAUGCCUAAUACAUGCAAGUCGAACGAGAGUAGCAAUACUCUAGUGGCGAACGGGUGAGUAACACGUAGGAAACCUACCUCAAAGACGAGGAUAACUACUGGAAACGGUAGCUAAAACUGGAUAGGGUAUACAAAGGCAUCUUAGUGUAUUUAAAAGUCCUUCUGGGAAUGCUAUGAGAUGGUCCUGCGGCGCAUUAGCUAGUUGGUGAGGUAAAGG